GUAGGUUCCAUUCGCUCAACGCCUGACUGUCUUUUAGCACCCCCACUCCCACCCCAGGCAAACACUGCACUCAAGGAGCGGCCGGCUGUAUGUGUAUGUGGGGGGACGGUAGCAUGGUGUGGUCACUCGACAGAGAGAGAGCGAGAGACGGCACACCGGGUCUUAAUUCGCCGUGUGUGGCCGACGCAGACCAGGUGUCGGUUCUUAGGGCAGACGGUUGUCCCCUCGUUGAACACGGACCCGAGUUAGUGUGCGGAAUGAACACGCGUGUGGGGGCGUUGUGGCGGUAACGUUGGCGAUGUUGACAACACGGAAAGUGCAUGGAAAGCCCCCCCCCCAAGCCAAAGCUCUCUUUGCGUCAGGAAAGGAUCGGAGGUUAGGCUGAGUUCCCGAGGCAGGGCAUGCAGCAGACCCAGCAGCAGCAGCAGACUGCAGCUCUGGUCCGGCAGCUGCAGCAGCAACUCUCCAAUACACAACCAGGCCAGAAUACCAACUCAUAUUACUGAUCGUCGUUCGUCGAAGUGUGCUGCGAGCCCCCUCACCACCCCACCAUAUAUACAUAUAUAAAUAUAUGCAGGAGCGUCCCCAAGCCUACCCACCCUUCAUCUGUGGUGGACCGGGCCACAGAAUGAGUCCAGUGCGGUGCAGGCCCGUUCCCAGAGCCCUGCUUUGGGCUCAUGAUCGGGGAGGUGAAUGCCUCAGGCGAUGGAAGGAAGGACUACCAAAUGGACAAACCAAACCAACCCCCCCCAAGUUUACCACUGAGUACAACUGGCAAGGAAAUGGCUAUCAUGUUCAGUCGUGUAUUUGCAGAACAUAGUUGCAGAAAUCGGCAGAGAUCUCGCUGGGAAAUAGUGUGGCGAGAUAUGGGGGAAGAGUUUAUGUAAAAAAAAAAGAAAAAAAAAAGUACCAGAAAUUAUAAGAAUAAUGCAAGUUUUUUAUUUUAUUUCAAUUUGUACAAUUUUUUCAGUUUGGUGUAUUUCUCAUUAAAAAAAAUCAUGUCAAUUGUA
ensembl:lncRNA